AGUGAACGCUGGCGGUAGGCCUAACACAUGCAAGUCGAACGGCAGCACAGUAAGAGCUUGCUCUUACGGGUGGCGAGUGGCGGACGGGUGAGGAAAAAAUCGGACUCUCCUUUUUCGUGGGGGUUAACGUAGGGAAACUUACGCAAAUACCGAAUACGCCCUACGGGUGAAAGAAGGGGACCUUCGGACCUUGCGCGAUUGAAUGAGCGGAUGUCGGAUUAGCUAGUUGGGGGGGUAAAGGCCCACCAAGGCGACGAUCCGUAGCUGGUCUGAGAGGAUGAUCAGCCACACUGGAACUGAGACACGGUCCAGACUCCUACGGGAGGCAGCAGUGGGGAAUAUUGGACAAUGGGCGCAAGCCUGAUCCAGCCAUACCGCGUGGGUGAAGAAGGCCUUCGGGUUGUAAAGCCCUUUUGUUGGGAAAGAAAAGCAGCAGGUUAAUACCCCGCUGUUCUGACGGUACCCAAAGAAUAAGCACCGGCUAACUUCGUG
rnacentral:rRNA from 1 species